CAAACCUCAGCUGCUUGGCAGCAUGACAGCAGCGGUGAGGGCCAUCAGGCUGCUCAGUCUUUCCCUGAGAGUCCAGCUCAGCAAAUUAGACCUGUCCUGCACUGACUUGAUAAACCUGAUGUGCUUCUGGACAAAGUUACCUCUCAUCUGUGAGCAAGUGAUUUGCUUAUUUCUCCCACAGAUGAAGACAAAGUUGAAGUGA
rnacentral:lncRNA from 1 species